UGUGUAGGUGGCCUGUUAAGUUCCGUGUGAAAUCUCCCGGCUCAACCGGGAGGGUGCGCGGAAAACUGGCGGGCUAGAGUACGGGAUGGGAGAGUAGAAUUCCUGGUGUAGCGGUGAAAUGCGUAGAUAUCAGGAGGAAUACCGGUGGUGUAGACGGCUCUCUGGACCGUAACUGACACUGAGACACGAAAGCGUGGGUAGCAAACAGGGAUUAGAUACCCUGGUAGUCCACGCCCUAAACGAUGCAUAUUUGGUGUAGGUCAUUCAGUUGAUCUGUGCCGGAGCUAACGCGUUAAAUAUGCCGCCUGGGGAGUACAGUCGCAAGGCUGAA
rnacentral:rRNA from 1 species